rnacentral:rRNA from 1 species
CCUACGGGAGGCAGCAGUAAGGAAUAUUGGUCAAUGGACGCAAGUCUGAACCAGCCAUGCCGCGUGAAGGAUGAAGGCCCUCUGGGUUGUAAACUUCUUUUAUAGGGGAAGAAACCCAUCUUUUCUAAGGUGGUUGACGGUACCCUAGGAAUAAGCACCGGCUAACUCCGUGCCAGCAGCCGCGGUAAUACGGAGGGUGCAAGCGUUAUCCGGAUUCACUGGGUUUAAAGGGUGCGUAGGUGGGUCUGUAAAGUCAGUGGUGAAAUCUCCGAGCUUAACUCGGAAACUGCCAUUGAUACUAUAGAUCUUGAAUUUUCUGGAGGUUAGCGGAAUAUGUCAUGUAGCGGUGAAAAUGCUUAGAUAUGACAUAGAACACCAAUUGCGAAGGCAGCUGGCUACAGGAAAUAUUGACACUGAGGCACGAAAGCGUGGGGAUCAAACAGGAUUAGAUACCCUGGUAGUCCACGCCCUAAACGAUAGAUACUACACAUUGUUGUAUAACAACAAAUAAAGUAGUCUGAGACGAAAGAACGAUUAAAGUUAAAUUACCCACCCUACGGGAAAGGUAAACGGUAACCGGACCGAAAGGUUAGGUUAAACGUAAACGAAAAGGAAAAGUUAAGUUACGGCGNGAGACGNGCCGAACGGACGACACGAAGGGGAAGGAGGGAG